rnacentral:rRNA from 1 species
GAUUGAAGCUUGCUUCAUGAUUCACAUUUGAGUGAGUGGCGGACGGGUGAGUAACACGUGGGUAACCUGCCCAAAAGUGGGGGAUAACAUCUGGAAACAGGUGCUAAUACCGCAUAACAACUACUUUCACAUGAUCGUAGCUUGAAAGAUGGCUCUGCUAUCGCUUUUGGAUGGACCCGCGGCGUAUUAGCUAGUUGGUGAGGUAACGGCUCACCAAGGCAAUGAUACGUAGCCGACCUGAGAGGGUAAUCGGCCACAUUGGGACUGAGACACGGCCCAAACUCCUACGGGAGGCAGCAGUAGGGAAUCUUCCACAAUGGGCGAAAGCCUGAUGGAGCAAUGCCGCGUGAGUGAAGAAGGUUUUCGGAUCGUAAAACUCUGUUGUUGAAGAAGAACAUGCGUGAGAGUAACUGUUCACGUACUGACGGUAUUCAACCAGAAAGCCACGGCUAACUACGUGCCAGCAGCCGCGGUAAUACGUAGGUGGCAAGCGUUGUCCGGAUUUAUUGGGCGUAAAGAGAAUGUAGGCGGUUUAUUAAGUUUG